rnacentral:lncRNA from 1 species
AUUUUCACAAAGUACCAAAGCCUUGUAUAACCACUUCCUUGAAGAUGUCUUCCAUUUUCUGAAACCACAUCAAUCCACCUAUUUGUAGAAGAGUUAGAAUAUCAAGACAUCUAAGGAAAAAUCAUACCUUGAAAAAUCACAUAUGAGAUUUGAAUGGAAUAUCUCAUCUCAGGACAUGGGAUCUGGCACACCAUGUUCUGCAUCCAGAGUGGUUGGCAUGCAAAGGAACUGGAUGACACACAACUUGGAAAUGAUGGACAGUUAACUCCCUAUGGUGAAAAUUUUGACGAUUGGGAAAUAGAAGACAGGAGGGAGACAAGCAGAUAAAUUUCUCCUUCUUUUUCACACCGCCUAACAUAUAUCAUUCCAUACAGCAUGCCCGGGAAUAUACUGGGUAAUGAGUAAAUACAUCUGCCUAGCAAUGUCAUGGCUCAUUGUGAAGCAGUAGUCAGACAUAUAAACAGCAUUUCAUUUAUUUUCCACAUCUUUUUCUUAUCCUAAUGCCUUUAUUCCUUACUCUCCCUGUCUUACGUUUGCAGAUAGGAAAUAAAGCACUGUCACUUAGUCCUCACCUUAGGUUCCAUAUUCUAUGGAAACUGGCAAGCAAAGCCACCUGGUGAAUGUAAGAAUUACUACAUGGGAUUGUUAAAAAUGCAAACUUUCUAAUGUUGGCU